CCAGCUCCAAUAGCGUAUAUUUAAGUUGUUGCAGUUAAAAAGCUCGUAGUUGGAUUUUGGGUUGGAGGAGUCGGUCUGCCGACAGGUUGAACUGUCUCCCCCAUCCUUUUUGCUGGGGACGUGCUCUGGCCUUCACUGGCUGGGGCGCGGAGUCGGCGAUGUUACUUUGAAAAAAUUAGAGUGUUCAAAGCAGGCCUAUGCUCUGAAUACAUUAGCAUGGAAUAACGCUAUAGGACUCUGGUCCUAUUGUGUUGGUCUUCGGGACUGGAGUAAUGAUUAAUAGGGACAGUUGGGGGCAUUCGUAUUUCAUUGUCAGAGGUGAAAUUCUUGGAUUUAUGAAAGACGAACUACUGCGAAAGCAUUUGCCAAGGAUGUUUUCA
rnacentral:rRNA from 1 species